GCCAGGCAUGGUGGCACACGCCUGUAAUCCCAGAGACUUGGGAGGCUGAGACAGGAGGAUCUCGAGUUCAAAGCCAAUCUCAGCAAAGGAGUGGCGCUAAGCAACUCAGUGAGACCCUGUCUCUA
rnacentral:sRNA from 1 species